AAUGUCUGAUUGAUUAACUGCUGAAUGGGAGGCGGGAGAGCUUUGUGUGACGGCCUGGUUUUAUUAAAUUAUGGAGGUCAGUCCGCUUUCUGGUCAGACAAGUGAACGGACCGCAGUGAAAGCUGGUGUGAAAGUGGUAGCCAAACUCACCCAGCAUUCACAAUGAAUAGUACAGAUCUGAACUCAUCAAGCGCGUUUACACAGCAAGCUGUGACGCGGAAUUCAACUUUGUGGCCGACAGCUUUUCCUAAACAAGCAAACGACUCCGUUAUUUAUGGUAACACCUUCACUCCUUGUUUUUCACUGUUUUUGUUGCAUUAUCCACAUGGAGUCACUUUAAUACGCAGAAGAAGAAGAAGACGGAGCUACCUUCGUUUUACCAGAUGCUAAUAAAAACGAGAGCUGUAUAUUUAAAGUGUUUAUUUCUGUUGGUUCAGUUUAUUGGGAACAAACUGCUCAAUGAAAUGAUUUUAACACUGAAAUGCAAACGUAAUGAAAAGUAAGUCGGCAGUAUACACAUUUAAUCAGGUGCUUGAAAUCCUUGAAAAUUUCAAUUAGAUGUUUUCAAGGUUUGAAAAGUGCUUGAUUUCUGUGUAAAGUGGUUAAUAUUCUGGCUGCACAGUUUUGAAAUAAACAUCUAGGAGAGAAGACUCGUUACAGAAAGUGAACUGAUUCAUAUUUAAACAUUUAAUUUGAGCUCAACAGGUUUGUUAAAUGUAAUGAUCAUUUCUAAUGACUCAAUGAGUAAGUGCUGCAUUUACACUGCAUUCAAUGUGAAUCCAUGUGAUUGGAGCUAUCCCCGUUUUUACAUACUUUGUCCUUCCACUAAACUUUCAAAUUAGUUUGAAUACUCUGUAAACGGCCAACUUAUUGACCUUUUUUUGGCUUAACUACCUUGUUGAGGAGGAUCUGUUGGACAACUGUAGUGUUGACAUUUUCCCUUAUUGUGUAGGCUGCGACAUGGCUAAGACAGAAUCAUUAAUGGUGAUGAAUCAAUUAUAAAUGAUCAACUCAUUUAGUAAUUGAUCGUUUACUAGAGCACACAGACUCAAAAAAGGUAAAAGA